UACGUAGGGAGCAAGCGUUGUCCGGAAUCAUUGGGCGUAAAGCGCGCGUAGGUGGCUUCGUAAGUCCGUUGUGAAAGCAAAGGCUCAACCUUUGAAAGCCGAUGGAUACUGCGGGGCUAAGCAGUACGGAAGAGGCGAGUGGGAAAUUCCUGGUGUAGCGGGUGGAAUGCGCAGAUAUCAGGAGGAACACCAAUAGCGAAGGCA
rnacentral:rRNA from 1 species